AGUUCGACAUUUGCUCCGAGCGGGACAGGAGCAGAAAUGUUUUUCUUGGUGACAGGUCGAGAUUCCCAUCCUAACUGGGGCAAUCUGCAGCAAGGCGCGUGCGCGGCCGCCAUAUUAAAGGGGAGAUGUGCAGUAUUACGCAUGCGCAGCCAUGCCGGAACAGGAAGGCGGAAGAGAGAAUGUUGUGACUUUCUUUCCUGGACCUAGAGUGAAAUUCCUUUGAAACUCGAGAAGGGGAGGAUUAAUUAACGGGAACCUUGAACCAAACAUCACGUCGUGAUCUGAGAGUCACUCGAUUAAUCAGGAUAUGAAUAUCAUCGGCCUUUGAAUGUGGAAGGAUAUUAGAAGGGGAGGAUUUGCAGUCGGCAAACUGAAACCAAACAUCACUUCAGGAUCUGUUGGAGUCACCUGACCUGAAUAUCAUCAGAUUUUGAACAUGGAAGGAAAAAGCACCAUUCACAGUGGAGAGAAACUGUACACGUGUUCUGUGUGUGGUCGAAGCUUUAGGCAAUCAUCUGGCCUGUCAAGACACAAGCUCAGUCACAUGGGGGAGAAACCGUGGAAAUGUGGGGGCUGUGGGAAGGGAUUCAGAUCUCCAUCUGAGCUGGAAAUUCACCAACGCAGCCACACCGGGGAGAGGCUGUUCAUCUGCUCUGAAUGUGGGAAGGGAUUCACUCAGUUAUCCACCCUGGUGACACAUCAGCGAGUUCACACUGGGGAAAGGCCAUUCAAGUGCACUAAAUGUGGGAAGGGAUUCACUCAGUUAACCAACCUGCUAACACACCAGCAAGUUCAUACUGAUGAGGGACCUUUUAAAUGUUCAGAUUGCGGGAAGUGCUAUAAAAGUUCCAGGGAUCUGAUGCACCAUUGUGUUCACACUGGGGAGAGACCAUUCAUCUGCUCAGUGUGUGGGAAGGAGUUCACUCAUUCAUUUAACCUCCUGAGACACCAGCGUAUUCACUCUGAUACAAGAACUUUUAAAUGUUCUGACUGUGAGGAGAGCUUUAAAGAUAACAGUGAUCUGCUGAGACACCAGUGCGUUCACCUGCUCCAUGUGUGGGGAUGAUUCUCUCGGGCAUUCACUCUACUGUAACACCAGCGAGUUCACACAGGGAAGAGACCGUUCACCUGCUCCAUGUGUGGGGAAGGUUUCACUCAGUUAUCCCACCUGCUGAGACACCAACAAGUUCACAAGUGACUGCGGGGGUUGGAUUCUGCUGUUAUUGCUGCUAUUAAUCACAUCCAGGACUGAACGAGUGGGUUAACCCUGAGGUGUGUAAGAAACGUGGCUGAGUCUCGCUCUUCCAUGGUUCAGAGCUCCUAGACAUGGAACAGAAGACUCCUUUACAACUGGGUUUAGAGUCAGGAAGAACAAUGGUGAAUGCUGGAAACGUGCUGUCAGAUCAGAGAUUGGUGUAAAACUGUGAUCUGUUCCCGAAUGAAAGUGAAACGGCAGGUUUAAGUUUCCAGUCUGCAAAUGGUACGAGGAUUUAAAAUGUUUGUGUGACAUUCCUGAGUUUACAAUUGUAAUGUAAUAGCAACAAUAAGUUGGAUUUCAAUAUGGAACCUUUAACCUCUCUCACCUUCCAUUGACUUCAAUGUAAUGGAAACUGACAGCUGGAACCUGUCGACAUUUGAAAGAUAUUUACAAAUGAUUCAAAAGUUUCUUACAGUUGCGAUCCUUCUCUGUUCUGUCCACUCGAGGUGUUAGACAACAGACUUUCUCCUAUGAAUAUUGAGCUGGAGUAUUGGACCGUGAUGUCUUUCCUUGUUCACUUUGUUGACUCUCAAUGUUGAAUCAGACACCAGGUAAUCAAGCUCACAACAACAGAUUGUCUUCUCCUGACUUUAUUAACAACACUGCAAUCAUACAGACAGAGUACUCAAUGAAGUACUUACAAAUGUCGUCAGUUGCAUACUUCAGGUUCUGUACUAUAGGAAUGGUGUAUUGGUGUGCAAUUUUAAUAUAACUUUAAUUCAAUAUUCCUUCUUUUAGUAUCCCGUCCACCACUUCCAUUACCUGAGUUUGUUUACUGAUUUUUGUUAUUGCAGAUUGUCACAUUUCCAUGUUUUCAACUUGAUUAUUUAGUCUAUAUAUUAAAUUUUAUGAUGUAAGUUACAGUUCAGCCUUUGAGCUGUGAAUGUAUUUCAUGAAUAAAAUACCAUUAUAUUUUAAAAA